UUUAUGGCAGGGAUAUAUUUAGCCAAGGGUCCAGGUGGCAAGCAUAAUGACAUAAUGACAGGUCUCCUUAUGACAGGUCUCCUAAUUCACAAGAUACAAUUCUGGCAACUUGAAAGGCAUCCGACUCGCGCCGCAGGGUGUGCGCGCCGCCUGCCGGGCGCCAGCGGAACUGCGCCCAGGGGUGUGAAGUCAUGAAUCACGAAGUGUAUCACGAAGUUAAAGUACAAGGAACGGACACGCAUGACCACAUCAUUUUCAGAUUGUAUUGACACUUUUGGAUCCUGGAGAUGAGUGCUCUGUCCGGGACCCGCCCAGACCCUCACUGGGGGCAUUGUAGACAGGAGGUGAGGCAGAUGUCAACAGUGGCUCCCGCCUUUAUACUCCGGCGCCUGAGGCAGAGGCGGGGGGAUUUCUGAGUUUGAGGCCAGCGUGAUCUACAGAGUGAGUUCCAGGACAGCCAGGGCUACACCUUGCUAAGAGACACCCUGCUUAGGAAGACGGACAAAUAUGGGGUCCCAUUGUGUAGCCUUGGCUGGCCUAGAACUCAGAGACAUCCGCCUACCGCAGUGUUUG
rnacentral:lncRNA from 1 species